GACUCCACAUGUGAUAACAGGUGAUGAGUGACGGUUCACAUCUCAAAGGUGGAGGCCCCCAGCUUCUACUCCUACUCCCAGACCUCUGGCCACCUCUGAACUUCUCAUGGAAGUUCCCUUUCCCCAGGAAAAAAGGAAAAGUAUCUUCUAGGAGCCUAGGAAGGCUGAAGCCAGAGACUUAUUUUUCUUCCCAGGCCAUGAGGGUUAAUUCCUCCUUUUUAGAGUUCUGAGAAAUCAGAGAAAUCAAAGCUUGGCCUCAUUCUCACCAAAAGAAAAGAACCCUUGCUAGGUUUUAACAAAAAGGAGACUAUUACAACAGGAAUGGAAUAAGUACUAUAAUCAAGAAACUCUCCAUAGGCUUUCCUGGCAUGCACAGGUAUUCUUUAUCUUAAUUCAUUCAGCAUUUACUAUAGGCCAGUGCAGGGGGGCAGGAAAUUUUCCUCUACCUUUCUGGGUUCUUGGCUGAGAUGGCCCUGUAAUGAAAAGACAGAUUAACUGGGGAAAAAACCUAAUUUAGUUACAAUUCAUACCUAUGGGAGCCCCACAAAAAACAUGAGACAGGAAGAAGUGACCAGAUUUGUGAAGAAUUGACUAGACAAGGGGGCUUGGGACAAGGGUAGUAAUAUGGUGAAGAAAUAACAAGGUUUGUUUAUACAGCCUCUUGGCCCUAAAUUCUUAGAGAAUGUCUUCUACUUUCUUAGCACAGGGAGGGUAUCUUUCACAUGGUACCUGCUUUCCUGCUUUCAGGGGGCCAAAGAAUGUUCAGAGUGUCCUUCCACACCAGCUGUUUCCCCAGUACCUUUCAUUCAAAAUAAUAUGUCAAAAUGGCAUACUUGGGGGUAACAUAUACUAAAUCUCUAUAUCAGCUAUGAUACUAAGAUGAGGGCUAUGAACAAGACAGAGAGGGUCUUUGCUCUCCUACAGUUUAUGUUCUAGGUAGGGUGUGUGUGUUGGGAAUAGGGGUGAAACAGAUUUUAAUAAAAAAAACCAUGAAAAUGUCA
rnacentral:lncRNA from 1 species